CCGCAAAAAUAAAAACAAGCAAAAUGGUAAAAAAUGUGAAUUUCUGGGUUGUUAUGUCGCUUGUAUGGUUGUGUGCUAUCGAUGAGAUUUUAUCAGAUAUUUUUUAUAUCGUAUGUCAGGUAGUUCUGUUAGUAGUGUGAGUGACUGUAUUAUGGUAUUGCAUCUUUUAUUAACGUCCCUAUAAUUGAGAAUUUAACAUGGUAUUUCCUGCGUGAAGAGUGCUGUCUUUGUCGUCUGUACCAAUAGUUCUGUCGUUGCUCGAUAUGCUCUACCUAGACAAAAAGAAGUCAACCAGCAAUCAACGAACAUUCGAAGCUUUAAGGUUUUGUUCCAUAUGUAAUUGCUGUACACUUCUGUUUUUUUCUAACUUUUCUUUUCUGAGGGUUGCUCAUCGAUGUUAUGCACAUUUGUAUCAUGCGUACCGAAGCGACAGCGACAAAAAAAUUUACACAAACUUUAUUGGGCUUUUGGAAUCAGUCUAAGCAUGCACAAACAUGGUGUCGAUCGCUGGAUCAAUAAGGAGUGAAGGGGAGUGAGCGGUGAGAAUAUAAGAGGAACACAUAAUGAAAUGGCACAACAAUAGAGAAUUUUGGUAAGUGGAGAAAAUCAUACAAAAACCCGGAUAGGAAAGCCUUUACACCCAGCACUUAGUCCGAGUAGACGCAAAAAGUGUAAGACAUUGCAUUACAAAACUUAAAAGAUGCCGUUCAAUAUCGAAGAAACAGUGGAUAACAGAGAGCAUAAGGAGCUGUUAGCGGUUCCUGUACCUUGGGUCCAGGGAACGAGCAAAGGAACGACGAAUUUGUUGUGGCCGAAUAUACGACAAAAGGAUCGGUUGAAUAAACUGAUCAUGUGUAGAGGAAAAUCACGAAAACA